GGCUCAGAUUGAACGCUGGCGGCAUGCUUUACACAUGCAAGUCGAACGGCAGCACGGGCUUCGGCCUGGUGGCGAGUGGCGAACGGGUGAGUAAUGCAUCGGAACGUGCCCAUUUGUGGGGGAUAACUACGCGAAAGCGUGGCUAAUACCGCAUACGCCCUGAGGGGGAAAGCGGGGGAUUCUUCGGAACCUCGCGCAAUUGGAGCGGCCGAUGUCAGAUUAGCUUGUUGGUGAGGUAAAGGCUCACCAAGGCGACGAUCUGUAGCGGGUCUGAGAGGAUGAUCCGCCACACUGGGACUGAGACACGGCCCAGACUCCUACGGGAGGCAGCAGGUGGGGUAAUUUUGGACAAUGGGGGCAACCCUGAUCCAGCAAUGCCGCGUGUGUGAAGAAGGCCUGCGGGUUGUAAAGCACUUUCAGUGGGGAAGAACAGAUUCGGGUCAAUACCCCGGAGCCCUGACGUUACCCACAGAAGAAGCACCGGCUAACUCCGUG
rnacentral:rRNA from 1 species